rfam:Gossypium arboreum cultivar AKA8401 contig_59620_1, whole genome shotgun sequence.
AAUCCAUGGUGAGGGCACUGGCUCAAUAAGUCCUUAUACCUCUGUCAUGCAUUAUCUAAGGUUUCUAGGUCAAUCUGAAUAAAAGAAGAGAUAUCAUUCCUCAACUU